GCCGGGCGCGGUGGCGCGCGCCUGUAGUCCUAGCUACUCGGGAGGCUGAGGCAGGAGGAUCGCUUGAGUCCAGGAGUUCUGGGCUGCAGUGCGCUAUGCCGAUCGGGUGUCCGCACUAAGUUCGGCAUCAAUAUGGUGACCUCCCGGGAGCGGGGGACCACCAGGUUGCCUAAGGAGGGGUGAACCGGCCCAGGUCGGAAAAAUAAGUAAAAGCAAAAAGAUCUGGGGGUGUAGUUCUGACCCCAGCACUGAAGAAAGAAAAAGAAAGAAU
rnacentral:sRNA from 1 species